UUUCAAGAAAUAUAGUUAACUGUAAGUGCUGUAUUUUAAUAAUCUAUCAAAAAUCAAAAUCAUCAGGAUAAUAUUACGUAUUGAUUUUCAAACAAGAAUUAGAUUACAGCGAUGGUCAAAAGCAUUUAGAUAUUGCUUUGAAAUCUACAGAUAAGGCAUGGCAGUUUCGUUUUAAAGAACAAGAUGUUAAAGUUUAUGAUAAAAUUGUCAUCAGAAAUACUGUCCACUUGCAGUAUUUACAUAGGAAAAUGUUGGAGGAUGAAGCUCUACCUACUGCCUCAGGUUAAUUUAAAUUCUGAGUUGCAACAACAGCAACAAGCAAGGAGGGCACCAUUAAAUGAAUAUUAUACACAUAUUAUUAUUAUUAUACAAAGAAAGAGUAAUGUUAUACACAUAAAUAUUAACAUUUUGUAGAGCAACAACAGAAUAAAAAACCAAAAUAUGAACACCAGCAACUAAAACAGGAACCAUUAAAUGAAUAUUAUAUACAGCAAUAACAGCAUCAAAUAAUGGAAAUAAUGGACCUUAUUGCACAAAUGAAAAACAAAAUUUCAGCAUUACUACUUUAUUGGUUAUAUCAAUAAUAGAAAUUGAGUUUAUCAGUCUAGAUCCUACAAGCAAGCAGAUCUAUCACAUAAUUUUAAAUGAAGAUUUAUCUAUUAUAGUAAUUUAUUCUAAUAACGAAAAAAAAACUUUGGAU